rnacentral:rRNA from 1 species
ACGCUCGACACCUACGGGGGGCAGCAGUGGGGAAUAUUGCACAAUGGGGGAAACCCUGAUGCAGCGAUGCCGCGUGAAGGAAGAAGUAUCUCGGUAUGUAAACUUCUAUCAGCAGGGAANAAAUGACGGUACCUGACUAAGAAGCCCCGGCUAACUACGUGCCAGCAGCCGCGGUAAUCUGAGCGGGCUGGCAAGGC